rnacentral:rRNA from 1 species
UACGAAGGGAACUAGCGUUGUUCGGAAUCACUGGGCGUAAAGCGCGCGUAGGCGGACAUUCAAGUCAGGGGUGAAAUCCUGAGGCUCAACCUCAGAAUUGCCUUUGAGACUGACUGUCUGGAGUAUGUGAGGGGAUAGCGGAAUUCCGAAUGUAGAGGUGAAAUUCGUAGAUAUUCGGAGGAACACCGGUGGCGAAGGCGGCUAUCUGGCACAUAACUGACGCUGAGGUGCGAAAGCGUGGGGAUCAAACAGG